rnacentral:rRNA from 1 species
GACGAACGCUGGCGGCGUGCCUAAUACAUGCAAGUAGAACGCAGUUGCGAACGGGUGAGUAACGCGUAGGUAACUGCCUCAUAGCGGGGGAUAACUAUUUGAAACGAUAGCUAAUACCGCAUACUGUGAGAUGGACCUGCGUUGUAUUAGCUAGUGGGUGAGGUAAAGGGUCACCAAGGCGCCGAUACAUAGCCGACCUAGGAGGGUGAACGGCCAACCUGGGAAUUAGACAAGGCCCAGAAUCCUACGGGAGGCAGGAGUAGGGAAUCUUCGGCAAUGGACGGAAGUCUGAACGAGCAACGCCGCGGGAGUGAAGAAGGUUUUCGGAUCGUAAAGCUAUGUUGUGAGAGGAGCGGUAACUAACCAGAAAGGGACGGCUAACUACGUGCCAGCAGCCGCGGUAAUAC